rnacentral:rRNA from 1 species
AACGAACGCUGGCGGCAGGCCUAACACAUGCAAGUCGAGCGAGGACUUCGGUCCUAGCGGCGGACGGGUGAGUAACGCGUGGGAACGUGCCCUUUGCUUCGGAAUAGCCCUGGGAAACUGGGAGUAAUACCGGAUGAGCCCUUUGGGGGAAAGAUUUAUCGGCGAAGGAUCGGCCCGCGUUGGAUUAGGUAGUUGGUGGGGUAGUGGCCUACCAAGCCGACGAUCCAUAGCUGGUUUGAGAGGAUGAUCAGCCACACUGGGACUGAGACACGGCCCAGACUCCUACGGGAGGCAGCAGUGGGGAAUCUUAGACAAUGGGGGAAACCCUGAUCUAGCCAUGCCGCGUGAGCGAUGAAGGCCUUAGGGUUGUAAAGCUCUUUCAGCUGGGAAGAUAAUGACGGUACCAGCAGAAGAAGCCCCGGCUAACUCCGUG